rnacentral:lncRNA from 1 species
GAAGGUCACACCACAGCGCGCUGGAGGGCAGUUGUGCGAUCUUGAUUCACUUCAACCUCUGCUCUCCGGGCUCAAGCAAUUCUCCCACCUCAGCCUGAGUCUCACUCUGUCCUUCAGGCUGUGAGUGCAGUCUCCUGAUCUUGGCUCACUGCAACCUCUGUCUCCUGGGUUCAAGUGAUUCUUGUGCCUCAGCCUACCAAGUAGCUGAGAUACAGGAUUGACUUCUAAAGACUCUUGGUACCUGAGGAAGAAACCCAGAAGAGGAAGAGGAAAGCAAAGGAGUCGGGGAUGGCUCUUUCUCAGGGUCUACUGACAUUCAGGGAUGUGGCCAUAGAAUUCUCUCAGGAGGAGUGGAAAUGCCUGGACCCUGCUCAGAGGACUCUAUACAGAGACGUGAUGCUGGAGAAUUAUAGGAACCUGGUCUCCCUGGGUGAGGAUAACUUCCCUCCAGAAGUGGGGAUGUGCCCUUGUGGAUCUUUGUAUUUUCUCUUGUUUCUCUUGGGAGUUGCAUCCUUGCUUGACUAAAAUGGAAGCUGUAUUGAUUUUGAAAUGAAAAGCUUCAUGAUGUAGCAUCUGGACUUUCACUGUCCCCUUUGUUUAGAUGUUCUGCGUUCUUCAUGAUACCUCAAUGUGGGUUCCAGAACUAAAGUAGGCAUAAAACCUUAUGGCAAGCUGGGCAUGGUGGUUCAUGCCUGUCAUCCCAGAACCUUGGGAGACUGAGGUGUGUGGAUCACUUCAGGUCAGGAGUUUGAGACCAGCCUGGCCAACAUGGUGAAACCCUGUCUCUACUAAAAAUACAAAAAUUAGCCGGACGUCAUGGUGCACACCUGCAAUCCCAGCUCCUAGAAAGGCUGAGGAGAGAGAAUUGCUUGAACCCAGGAGGCCAAGGUUGCAGUGAGCCGAGAACACACCGCUGCACUCCAGCCCAGACGACAGAGCAAGACUGUCU